AAGUCGUAACAAGGUUUCCGUAGGUGAACCUGCGGAAGGAUCAUUAACACGUAUCCAACGUUAAAACAACCCGUCAUUGUUGCCAGCUGAGUCAGGACCUCUGCCAUAGUGAUAUUUUAGAGUUCGGUUGAGCGAUUGCAUCUAGUGACCUGGCAUCAAGUAAUCAGUGUUCUGAAAGAUUGAUUGUGUAAGGAUGACCACAAACUUCGCCGCGCGUGAAAUUCGCACGGCACCAAAAACCGAACAACUGUUAACAAGAUAUCUUGGUUCUC
rnacentral:misc_RNA from 1 species